AUGCACGCUGGCGGCGUGCCUCAUCCCUGCAAGUCGCGCGCACGGACGAGAAGCUUGCUUCUCUGAUGUUAGCGGCGGACGGGUGAGUAACACGUGGAUAACCUACCUAUAAGACUGGGAUAACUUCGGGAAACCGGAGCUAAUACCGGAUAAUAUUUUGAACCGCAUGGUUCAAAAGUGAAAGACGGUCUUGCUGUCACUUAUAGAUGGAUCCGCGCUGCAUUAGCUAGUUGGUAAGGUAACGGCUUACCAAGGCAACGAUGCAUAGCCGACCUGAGAGGGUGAUCGGCCACACUGGAACUGAGACACGGUCCAGACUCCUACGGGAGGCAGCAGUAGGGAAUCUUCCGCAAUGGGCGAAAGCCUGACGGAGCAACGCCGCGUGAGUGAUGAAGGUCUUCGGAUCGUAAAACUCUGUUAUUAGGGAAGAACAUAUGUGUAAGUAACUGUGCACAUCUUGACGGUACCUAAUCAGAAAGCCACGGCUAACUACGUG
rnacentral:rRNA from 1 species